CGGGGUGAGUAAUGCUUGGGAAUCUAGCUUAUGGAGGGGGAUAACUACGGGAAACUGUAGCUAAUACCGCGUAAUAUCGAAAGAUUGAAGUGUGGGACCUUCGGGCCACAUGCCAUAGGAUGAGCCCAAGUGGGAUUAGGUAGUUGGUGAGGUAAAGGCUCACCAAGCCGACGAUCUCUAGCUGGUCUGAGAGGAUGACCAGCCACACUGGGACUGAGACACGGCCCAG
rnacentral:rRNA from 1 species